rnacentral:rRNA from 1 species
UGCGUAGGCGGGCUAAUAAGUCAGUGGUGAAAGUUUACGGCUCAACCGUAAAAGUGCCAUUGAUACUGGUAGUCUUGAGUACAGUAGAGGUAGGCGGAAUUUAUGGUGUAGCGGUGAAAUGCAUAGAUACCAUAAAGAACACCGAUAGCGAAGGCAGCUUACUAUACUGAGACUGACGCUGAGGCACGAAAGCGUGGGGAGCGAACAGGAUUAGAUACCCUGGUAGUCC